CAGGGAUGCGGGGACCGUUGGCGCGGACAAGGGUGGCGCCCAGGCCGGUGCGGGGGGUGGUGGAGACACCAAGCGGGGAGCGCCGAAGGGCUCUCCCGGCAAAACUGAUGGAGUCAACCUGAGGCUUCCGGGCUUGCCAGGUGUUCUUUCUGGAUUCUCAGAGAUAGGUAGCAAGUGGCUGCCCCACAGCACCCAAAUCCUGGAAGAUAAGCAAGCUAUGUUGUCAUCUGCCCAGAACCCCUGCUCUCUAGGUCCCACUGCUCCCACCAGUUAGGUAGUGGGAGUGCUGGGGAGUUGGAGAAAACCUCAUUGGACGCACUUGCAGCUGGCAGGGUAUACAGUAGUACCCUCAUUUUACACAGCAGAAAAGGGGAUGCUGAGGGCUGGAAGCCAGCUGCUGAAGGACAUAGUCAAGGCCCUAGGCAAGUAGUGGUGUCAGGUUUGGAAUUAAGGUUGUCUGUUGAUUAUAUCUGUAAAUAACUGGGAUGGAGAAGGGACUCCAAGAGGGACUCCCUGUUCCUCAAGGUGGAAAAAUCAAGCCCAAACUAGACAAGGUACUUGUUCGGUAUCUCAGCCAGCAGCCUCACUCAGCAGGCAACAGGGUGGUACC
rnacentral:lncRNA from 1 species